AGGCUCUGGAAGGUGAUCGACUCAUAGCAUGGGGGCGUGGAAUUAUCGGGUAAGGAGUACGUCUGCCGAUAGCCAUAUGCUUCCAGCCCAUAGCUUGGCCUACCCCAGCUUCCUAGG
ensembl:miRNA Mir6244 microRNA 6244